rnacentral:tmRNA from 1 species
GGGGGCGCAACGGUUUCGACGGGAUUGGAUCGUUGUGUGAAGGCGUGUCGGGUUCCGAGCUCCCGUAAAACGAUCGGAAAACAACAACUGCCAAUAACAAUCAGCAGUUUGCUUACGCUGCUUAAGUAAUUAAGUAGCCGCUCUUGGUUAACGAGCCUGCGCGUUGGCCACCGAGCGUCACUUUGCAGGAUAGGUACCUGGCUUCUGUCCGUAGCCGUGGGCCGAGAUUAAUCGGGCUCGGCGACUCUCGCUUUUGCCGGUUCUUUAGAGAGUUGCUUAAAAAAUAGGAUCGGAUACACACGUAGUCUUUGCACGUCGGGCUUUUUCGGACGCGGGUUCAACUCCCGCCGCCUCCACCA